rnacentral:piRNA from 1 species
UGUGAUGAGGUCGUAACCGGAGAU